rnacentral:rRNA from 1 species
UACGUAGGGGGCAAGCGUUAUCCGGAUUUACUGGGUGUAAAGGGAGCGCAGACGGCAGUGCAAGUCUGGAGUGAAAGCCCGGGGCCCAACCCCGGAACUGCUCUGGAAACUGUGCGGCUAGAGUACUGGAGGGGCAGGCGGAAUUCCUAGUGUAGCGGUGAAAUGCGUAGAUAUUAGGAGGAACGCCAGUGGCGAAGGCGGCCUGCUGGACAGUAACUGACGUUGAGGCUCGAAAGCGUGGGGAGCAAACAGG